AAGCAGCCACUCAUUCAAAGAGUGCGUAAUAGCUCACUGGUCGAGUGAUCCUGCGCCGAAGAUUUCCGGGGCUAAAACUUACUACCGAAGCUACGGCAUCAUUAUGAUGGGUAGGGGAGCUUCCCAUACGGGUUGAAGCAUGACCGUAAGGACAUGUGGACAGUAUGGGAGUGAGAAUGUUGGCAUGAGUAGCGAGAUGUGGGUGAGAAUCCCACAGGCCGUAAACCCAAGGUUUCCAGGGGAAGGUUCGUCCGCCCUGGGUUAGUCGGGAC
rnacentral:rRNA from 1 species